UUUAUUUAUUUUGUUUUGGUUUUAGGGUUGAAAGUAUGGUCAGCUUAUCUCUGUAGCUCAACUUUGAUUCGUUCUGUUUUAUUAUAUUUGGGUGAUGUGGAUGUUGUUGUGAUUGUAUGUUGACCGGUUCAAUUCCUCGGAUUAUAUUUUCCAUGAGUUGACGGUGAUUUUGGUUUUCGUUUGUCGUACAUCCCUUUAUUUGUAGAUUUGGUUCUAAGUUUUCUAGCUAGUUUCGUGAAGUGGAGCCUGUAGGUAUUUUGUGUAAUUUCCGGCGUCGUUGUGUAAUUUCCGGCGUCGUUGCGUUCUGAUUCCGGCACUGUCUCUUUUUUUUCGUUUUCAACGAUUGUACGAUGUGGUUGGUUGUGUAUCUCCAGUUUUUUUUUGAGGUUUAUUUAUUUAUUUGUUUUUCCAACUAUCUUUUGUUAUUGUUGUGUAUUCCGCUUUGCUGAAGCAAUUGUGGAGAAUGUUCUUCGAAAUGUUUUAUUUGGCGUCUGGAAUGCUUCCCCAGAGUUUGUCAGGCGGAUGUAGCUCUCAAGUUUGGCAUUGUAUAUUGACUUGUCGCUGUAAGUGUAGCCCUGAAUUCUCUAGAGUACGUAUUUUUAUACCAUCAGGUCACUGUGGUGUGGUUUGGCUGAAUUGAGGAUCCAAAACUGAUCUUGAUUUGUUAUGACGCGUUUGUCUGUUUCGAUCCACAGUCACUCACUGUAAACUGGGAUAUGGCAGUUCGAAUGGAAUGGUUAUCUCAUUCACCGAGAAUGGGCCGUCUACUGUGGUUGCUGGACUGGGAGUCAACAUCGACCACGUCUGGCAUCGCACUCGUGCUCAUUAGAUUGAGGAUUGGAGCAAAGUUAUGAGACCGAAGAUUGCGCGCAAUCUGACAGUCAUCAGUAUUUAUGACGAUCUAGACUUCAAUGGAGCUACAUCUCAACAGCUUACUUUGCAAUAUGCGGAUGAUACGUCAUUCUUUGUCCGUGCAAAAGAACAAGUGAAAACAUUGAUUGAUAUCCUCGACACCUUUGCCUUGGCCUCCGGACUAGUGAUUAAUUGGGCAAAAUCCAGUGAUUAUUGGGACACAAACUCGUUGUAAAUCAAAUUCUACUAUCAACACGCUAGUACUUCGUGGGGGUAUGAACAUGCUCACGGAAGGUUAUUAAACAAAUCAAGGCUCUCCUCAGGAACUAUCUUUGGACUGGAAGAGAACAUCGUACAAGUGCAUGAGUGGCGUGGUUGACAUGAAUCCU